rnacentral:tRNA from 1 species
GAGCCCUACCAGCUAACUUUUAAUCAGUAGGUCGCUGGUUCGAACCCAGCAGGGCUCACCA